AUGGCGGCGGCGGUGGCACCCCGAGGAAUGGUGCGGCGGCCCGAUCAGCUGGCUGACUUUAGGUUCAGCCUUGGAGACACCCUGCAUCUCGAAGAACAGCGCGGCGGUUGUGGCGGCACCUCGAAGAACGGCGCGGCGGGGAGCAUUGAGCUGUGUGCCAGCAAAUUAUGGGGUGUGGAGACCAGCGGAGCGGCUGGCCCCCACCCUGGCCUUGAAAAUGGCGCACUGCGCCCAGAAGAACGGCGUGUUGGGGGAGACGAGGCAAGGAGUGUGGGGACCGGCGGAGGGUGCUGGUUUCCGCUCCGGCGUCUGGCCCCAGCUGGGAUCUUCAUAGCAGAGCCGUUGGUGGCAGCAACGGCGAUGGCGAGGAGAGAGCGGUCUGAGGCUGGUUGCUGUGGGCAUGACCACGGUUGGGGCGGCGGUGCUGCCAUGGAUGCCGCCAAUGGUGGUGUUAGUGGCAGAGGCAGCAAUGGUGGAGGCGGCGGACUGGCUAGCGAUGACUCUGGGCCACGAGGUGGAGAUGGUGUGGCCUCGGGGUUGCUGCCAGGCCUGGCCCCCUUGUCGUCUGCUUUGCUCCGGCUGGACCUUUUAGAUCUGUGUUUGCUGCCCUCCCCCCCCUCCUGCCUCCUUUUUGCCUUGCCUCUUGGGGCUAUUUCUCCCCCCUCCCUUUUUUACACCCGAUGGAGGUUGGUGAGAGGGAUAUGGACGCAUCCCACCCGCUACUGUGUGAGGGUUGCGGACUGGGAUUGCUUGCCCUCCCCCGUAGCUAACCUCUGUUAUCAUCUUGCCACCCGGACGUGCUUGCCUGACAACCCUGCGGUGAGAGCGCGGUGGCUGGCCUGGAUGAGGGCCCUUACCAUCGGCCCACCGGAUUGUGGUGAGACAGCAAUCCUGAUUCAUCUCCUGGGACCAUUUGUCUGCAGCACAGACGUUGGGAUUGGACCGGGUGUUUUAACAUCCUUGAUAUACGGACUUGUUCCACCUUUCGACUCCUCCCUUUAUAUGUGCAAUACAACAACAUAUGGGUCUACUUGUCAACGGACCUGCAGGCCCUACUGGAGGCCCCCCUCUCCCGGGCCUGGCCUGCCGGACUUUCCACAAUGUACCUCGAGGACGGGUCAUGGAACCCAGAGUUGGCACUGCGCUGGUAGGGGUUGGGGUGGGGGUCCUGGGAAGGGUAGAAGGGGGGGUUCCAGGCCUUCAUUAGUUAAAUUCUUGAUUCGAUGUUUAUGUGAGUUAGGGAAGGGGGGGGUCUUAUAA
rnacentral:lncRNA from 1 species